AUUCGAUAGUGUCCAUCACUGAAAAACUGCAGAAGUGGUGGUCUCAAUUUGAUAGAUGACACGAAUGGUCUAACGUAACAAGAAGCAAUGUCUCGCGCUUGCAGAAGAUUCUGCCCGUAGUUUGGGUAUUGGCUGGUUGGACUAACGUAUCAAGUUCAUAUUUGGUCUUCUGGGUAUAUUAUUUUGUCUCAUAUGUAUUUACCACAUUUUCUGUGAAUUUUGGAUGGUUUAAAGUGGGGUCAUUACAUUAAGACCAAUAUGAAGAUGCACGGGGUAUUCGAGAAAAAAAGGUAAUACCAUAAUACUGCUAUAUUUUUUGAUAAACAGCAAUUAAUUUUAUUAAAUUCUUAUUGGAAAUCAUAAUCAUCAUAGAAUAAUGAGAACAACAAAUAUUACACACUGUUUUCAGAGUAUAUUUUAAUUUAAUGUUAAAUUUGUACAGAAUUCCUUCUUACAAAUAAUCUUUGUUUAUUCCUACAGACAUUUUGAUGAUUUAUACAAUGAAGACUUUGUGACAAAAUUAUUGUUUGAGAACAUAUGGUAUAAACAAACUAACAAGAACAGGUGAAUUUUUCACAGAGUGCAUGUAAUUAUAACUUAAUUCCCAAGCAUUCAUAAAACUGACUUCUGUCUUUAUAUAAAGCCACUCAUUAAGACUGUGCACAAAGCAUGUCACAAACACAUUUUUAAUAUUAAUGAGGUACAAACUAAAGAUAAAUCAGAUUUUACAUACAUAUUGUACUAUGUUAACAUGUCAAGGAAAGUGGCCGAUUAGUAACUUGGAUGUAAUCGAGAUUUCAGGUUCUCAAAGUAGCAAGGACGAAGAUAACAGAUAGCCUCCUGGGAUGUUACACUGUUUAAUCUCACAGAAACUGACUUAUUUUUCAAAGGUGUGUAUGAGCAUAUGAGUGAUGAGUUAUCACCCUGAUGAUGGAGGCAGUAGAAAUCUCUGAAACAUUAGUUAACUUCAAUGAGACUACAUGGCACGGUAUCCCAGAAGGCUGUCAUCUUCAUGCCAAUGUAACUGUUUUACAAGUGCAUUUCAUCUCCGUAUAUCAAAUUUCUUGAAUGCUGGUUUCAGCUGCAAGGCUAAAAUUGUAGCGUGGGCUUGAAAUGGAGCCAUCUACUAUCAAAGAAAUGUGACUCUGAUCAUACCAGUACUUGACAGAACAUUUUCUUAAACUGAUGUUAAUUUCUUAUUUACUAGAAGCCAUUUCCUUUAAGAAACAUUUAGAAAAUUAAAUUAUUGUAUCAUAAUACUGUAAACAUCUGAUUAAAUGCCAGGGUUUGAACGUCUUAGGUUUAAACUGUAGGUGGGUACAAGCACUGCCGCCAUUUUUAGUAUACAAAAUGUAUUUUUCUGUAAAUUCAUUUAUCCUACGCGUCCUUCAGACAUUUUUCUCUGCAUAUGACAAUUUGUAAUUAGCUAUAAUUGCAGACAUGGCAUGUUUUCACAUGCAUUUUUAUGUUUCACCUACCAACUAGGAUGUUAAAAACUCUCGACUGACAUCCUGUAUUUGGCAUGUGUGUGUGUGUGCAUUUUAAAUAUACACAAAUUCAAAUUA